UUUUUAUAUUUUUUAUAUUUGUUAAGUUUAAAAAAUAUUUUAUUGGGGUGAUAAUAAAAUUUAUAAAACUUUUAAUACCUAUAUUCAUUAAUAUAUGAAUUAAUUUUAACUUUAAUUUAAAAAUUUAGAUUAAAA
rnacentral:rRNA from 1 species